GGAUUGCCCUAGUAACUGCGAGUGAACCGGCAACAGCCCAGCCUGUGAAUCGCGCAAGCGACUUGUGGAGUGGAGACUUUAUCCUGACCCUGUUGGUGUGAGUGUAACUUGGUUGGAACGCCAGGCCGCAGAGGGUGCAAGCCCCGUGCCGCUCACGCCUCAGACAAGGAGGAGUUCAAAGAGUCGGGUAGUUCGGGACUGCUGCCCUAAGUGGGAGAUAGACUUCUUCCAAGGCUAAAUAAGGACGAGAGACCGAUAGCGAACAAGUACUGUGAAGGAAAGAUGCAAAGCACUUUGGAAAGAGAGUUAAAAGACUUGAAAUCGCUGAGGAGGAAGCAGUGGGACGUCGGCUCGACUGAGUGGAAACUAGGCCAAGGCCCUGUGGGAGCUCAGUCUUAGCAACGCCCGCGAGGUCGGAGCUGCGAGGAACCAGUUUGGUCCUCUCCAGGCCGAGACCGGCGCGAGCGUUGUGCGGCGUCUUACUGGCCCGUCUUGAAACACGGACCAAGGAGUCUAACAUGUGUGCGAGUAGUCGGGUGUAAGCCUCACUGCACAAGGAAACUGAGCCUUGCCAAAUCUGCAGCAAGGGCCGCAUUAGCGCGCUGAGCAGACAUGUUGGGACCCGAAAGAUGGUGAACUAUGCUUGGGGAAGGCGAAGCCAGGGGAAACUCUGGUGGAGGCUUGU
rnacentral:rRNA from 1 species